rnacentral:rRNA from 1 species
AUGUCCGAGUUCGUCAACCUUUGGGGGAAACUCUCGCUCGUCAACUUCAACCCUGAGGAGCUUGACUCAAUUACAUGGAAGCUCAGCAAUGAAGGCCAAUACUCGGCGGCGGCGGCUUAUAGUGCUCAGUUUCUUGGACUUGUGGACACAGACAUGCCUCUGUUGGUGUGGAAGAAUUGGGCUCCCCCCAAAUGCAAUUCUUUUGCUUGGUUGGUCAUCAACAAUAGAGUUUGGACGGCUGACCGGAUUCAGCGAAGAGGAUGGCCAAAUUGCAACCUUUGCCCUCUUUGCAAGCAGAUCCUGGAGUCGUGGCGCAUCUUCUUUUCCAAUGCCGCUACACCAUCCGUGUGUAGGUAA